AUACGGAGGGUGCAAGCGUUAUUCGGAAUCACUGGGGGUAAAGGACGCGUAGGCGGGUUGGCAAGGCAGAUGUGAAAUCCUACAGCUUAACUGUAGAACUGCAUUUGAAACUGCUAACCUAGAGUAUGGGAGGAGGAGAUGGAAUUAGUGGUGUAGGGGUAAAAUCCGUAGAUAUCACUAGGAAUACCGAAAGCGAAGGCGAUCUCCUGGAACAUAACUGACGCUAAGGCGUGAAAGCGUGGGGAGCAAACAGGAUUAGAAACCCCAGUAGUCC
rnacentral:rRNA from 1 species